rnacentral:rRNA from 1 species
CCUACGGGAGGCAGCAGUGAGGAAUAUUGGUCAAUGGGCGGAAGCCUGAACCAGCCAAGUAGCGUGCGGGAUGAAGGCCCUACGGGUCGUAAACCGCUUUUGCACGGGGAGCAAUGCCGGGCACGUGUGCCCGGAGGGAGAGUACCCGCAGCAUAAGCAUCGGCUAACUCCGUGCCAGCAGCCGCGGUAAUACGGAGGAUGCGAGCGUUAUCCGGAUUUAUUGGGUUUAAAGGGUGCGUAGGCGGAUUUUUAAGUCAGCGGUAAAAUGUCCGGGCUCAACCCGGGCCGGCCGUUGAAACUGGGGAUCUUGAGUGGGCGAGAAGUAGGCGGAAUGCGUGGUGUAGCGGUGAAAUGCAUAGAUAUCACGCAGAACUCCGAUUGCGAAGGCAGCAUACCGGUGCCCGACUGACGCUGAGGCACGAAAGCGUGGGGAUCGAACAGGAUUAGAUACCCUAGUAGUC